rnacentral:lncRNA from 1 species
CUCAUGUUAUAUUUAGGUUAUCAAUUGUAAAGAUGAGAUUGCACAGGAAUAUUUGAUGGAUUGCAUUAAAGUCUUCCCUGAUGAGUACCAUUCAGGCGUUAGGUUUGUACUUCACAAUUAACUACCUAUUAGUGAUUAUCUGUUAGGUCCGCAGACCUAUGUUCAGAUGUUCCGUCUAUGUUCCUCUUUUCUUUGCCUACUUAAGUUACCCUACCCCCACUCCCUUUAGUACUCCUUAAUAGUGUAGCUAAGUUUUGUUGCUUCUCUUGUAUGACCAGUAUUUAAAGCUUUUUAUUGGACGGAUAGCGCUGAACCAUCUAUACCGCUAGGAAACAAUAGCAGGUUAGAAUUCACCAAAUAUCUUACAUUUAAGGAGACAUAAGUGAAAGACGUAAUAAAAAAUGAACAUUACAAAGUGAGUUAUGGAGAACCCUAAAAGUUAGUUUGUCUCUAAAUACUUCCUUCAAGCACCUUCGUGGAGUUGGGAAAUCCUACAAUUUGUGCUAUCUCUAUAUUUGUUGGAAAAUGAUCAUCUCUCUAAAGUUAUCAUUGCUUACUUGUUGGCCUUUUUGGGUGGCAACACCAGCCCUCCUGAUAAGGAUUUGAAGAAAAUCCUUGCAACUGGUAAUGCCUACAAUUGCUAAGCAAAAUUUUUUACUUUCCUGUAUAUAUACAUUUUUCUAUUUUACUAAUUUAUUUUGCAUAUGGAUGUUGAAUGUGUUUGUUAUUUCGACAUAACAGUCAUUGAUCCGUGAAGUUAUUUUAUAAUGUAGUUGAUUUAUGUGUUUGUGUGCCUAAUUACUUUUAUGUGUAUUCUGAUAGCUUGGUCCUCCAAAUAAAUUUCCAGGUCCAGUUAUCUAUCAGGGGGUUUCUAGAGCACAACUGAUUGUAACCUUUCUUUACUGUGUAAACAGCCCCACUAUGACACCCCCAUUUCAUAUUGCCAUCUGUCUGAAGAUUGAUGUGACACUAUUGUAGUCUUGCUAAAAGAUCUAAUUCACUUCCCAAUCAUGCAUGUUUCUUCUGAAUGUUGGUCCCAAUUGUUCUCUUCUUUAUUAGCAGAGAUUAUAGAGUCAGGAUCUUGAGCUAUUCUAUACAAGAUAGGGAAGUCAUCCUGAAAAGUGGUACUUCCAAGUCAUUUGUCCUUCCAGAAUCUUAGAAGUGAGCCAUUACCCACCUAGAAGUGAGUCUGUUGAACAAAAGUGUCCCAUAAUUUUCUAAUACCACUCCAAAGACCUAAUCCAUAAGGGAGAGUGGAAAUCUCUGACCACCAGUGAUCCAUCACUCCAUGUUUGGCUAUGACAACUUCAUUCCAGAACCCUGCAUCCUUCAAAUUAGAUCUCCAAAGCCACCUAAUCAUCAUGUUUUUGUUAUGAGCUAUAAGAUCCUUGAUUCCAGGACCUCCUUAAUUUUUUGGCUGAGUCACCUUCUUCCACUUGAUGAGAUAAAAUUUGUGGUCCUCUUCAUUAUUGGGGCUUUAAGCGCAAAGGGUUUUAAUGAAAAAGGCACAAAGGGAGAAAAAAAUACAAAUAUAUGUAUGUUAGUCCAAGACUAAUAAUUUAAGUAUGAAUGACAAAUAUAUGAACAAAAAAUUGAAAAAGAUAUAUGAUAAAAUGAUCAAUUUUUAGUGCCAUCUCUUCAAAAGAGGUUUAUUGACAGUGAAUAAUAUGUCUUAGAACCUUGAUGAUGACACUGAAGCACACAUUAAGCGAGAUAAAGCGCUAAACACGUUUUGAGCCUCACUUUAGGGCUCAAGUAUGCCUUUGUCAACAUGUGGUUUUUGCAUGCUUAAGAAAGAUGUGUUUUCACUUUUAAUGGGCUUUGUUUUUUUUCUGGCUUAGCAGAAUAGGAAAUAAAAGAGACAGAGGUGUUUGUUGGUGGUUUGGCCUAUUACUACUGAAAGCAAAAUUUGUGAGGUUUGUUUUAGAUUUAUGUUACCUUGUAUAUUCGGUUCUUCAAGUUUAUUUUUUCGGUUCAAGUUUGUUUUUUACAUUGAGAUUGUUUUUUAUUAUCUUUUUGUGUGGAUAAAAUAAUGAAAUAUUAUUGGGUUAGAACUGCAGUUGCUGAGAGUUGCAAAAAAUACGUAAAGGGAGUCCUAAAAGGCAAAUGUGUUAUCCACAUUGUUAACAAUUUUUAACUUUAAAACAACAUUAUUUUAAAGUUAUAUUAUACCAAAAGCAAGGUCAGUUAAACACUUAUGAAUCAGUAUGUAACUAAGGUUAAGUUUCACCAUCAAAACACAUUUGGGUCCUUCACUCGAGAGAGUCUAUACGAUUCAUAUUGGGAUUGUAAAAGAAAUCUUUUGUGGAGUCUUUUCUAUGUUCCUACCAGCUGCAUGGAGAUAGCGUCUCCAGAGUCCUUAGUCCAACAUCAAGUUGUUACGGACUUACGAUCCUCUGAACUUUCAUCUACCCAAAUGCAAUUGGUUGAUACUGGACAAGAGUGUUUUUCUCCAGGAUUCUUGUUAUCUGUUAAAUGUAUUUAAAUGAACUACAACAUUCUGGUUUUUUUCCUCUGGAGGUGUCACUUGGUUGGGUCUGAUAAUGGGGUCAGGGACUUUUUCUUUAAGGUCUUUGCCAUAUUCUACAUUUGUUGUGCAUUGUGAAGAAAGUUUCUUAUUUUCCUGUUAGCAUGGCCUGCUGAAAUUAAGGCGCGAUACGUGGAUAUGGAUACUUUAGAGACGUGCUUGCUCAAGGUUACUGUUACCGCAAAUCUAGGCAUGCUCCUUACCCCUGUUGCUAGAUAUAUCUAUAGUUUUCGGUUAGCUGGUAUUCUGCUAAUCUUAUCUUACUUCCAUAGUCGCAAAUCUGAAGGACUGGACACUAAGCUCACAGUAAUUACUUUUCAAAUAUUUAUGGCCCGCUUCAUAUCUGGUUUACUCAUUGGAAUUGAUGAUUUCUUUUGUGCUGUUGGAGCUGCUAAAAUUCAUGUAUCUAGGUCAGCUUUCCUUGUUUCAACUAGGCUCAUUUUCUCGGUGGGCAUAGGGGAGCAAAUUGGUGACAAAAUUUUGUUUUGGUAUUUUUAACUAUAAGAAUCUAUUACAUGGUGAAUUUGCACAAACCAUUUCUUGUGAUGUAUUCUUUUGAGUGGACUAAAUGAUUAGCAAUGAUCUUCAAUCAAUGCUCUGGAUUGGAAAACAUAACAUGCAUCUUUAGUUAUAGAAUUGUUAUCACACAACCCUCUAAUGGAAUUGACGCGAAAGUAUGUUUCACUUUACGGUGGAUAUACUCUUUCAUUGUUGCAUUGCUCUACUUGAACCUUGAGGACGAGGUUCUUAGAAAGGAGGGAGGAUUACAGACGCAUACUCUUACAGGUUUGUUAGAUUGUUCAAUUAUAAAAUUGGAACACUCAUACUCGUUUACAGCAAUAAACUAGGCAAAUUGCAAAGUCGCUUGGAUAUAGAUCGGAGAUCAGUUUUCUAGUUGCACUCUAUUCUGUAUGUUCUUUAUUCGGGCUCCUGCUUUCAACCACCCCAAAUUUUCUUUAUGAGUAAGUAUUUAUGAGGUUCUAUCAGAAACAACCUCUCUAUAUUUAUGAGGUAAGGGGUACGAUCUGCGUAUGCUUUGCCCUUCCCAGAUCCCACUUGUGGGCUUGCACUGGGUAUGUUAUUGUUGAUGCUCUGAACUUCUUCUACUUGAAAUACAUUCAUUUUAAUCAAGACAUCAUUGGCUUACUAUCGUUGAUCGGUCCAAAUAUAUUAUUAGGGCUAAAAAAACUUACAGGUGUUGUGGAUCUUACUACUCACUUCAAGUUAUUGCCUCACCACGAGUUCUUCUGCAAGAAACCGCUUCCAUUGUCAAUUUCAGAUACACACUAACUUCACAAUGUGGUGGAUUAAUUAUAAUCUAAAAUUUUUUCUUGUUGAACAAUUUACUAGAAUGAAUCUUCAACAAAAGAUGAUAGAUGGGAUGUGGAUCGUUAUAAUCGUCCAGAAAAGAAAAGUGCCCAUUUCUCGUCAUAGAGACUGCUUAAGGAGAAAUAUGUGUAAGUUUGUAUUCUCUUUUUACUAUUAAGUUCUCUAUUUUAACUAGCACAGUAAUGAAUAUGUUACACUGAAAAUAUCAGUGUGUUUCAACUUUUGCCCCCAUUCUAGAGAUUUUGAUUUCUGAAAUUCCAGAUGUGACUGAAACAUAUACUGCUAUUGAGUUUUGGUGAUUCAAUCUAAUUGGUUAGGUCCUUUUCUAGAGCUGGGAUUGUAUUUAUGAAAGUCAUUUACUACUCACCAGCUUGCUGGACUAGUGGGGUACCUAUCAGGAAAUAUACUGAAAACAAUGCCUCUUCAAAUUGAAUGCAAAUGUUUAUUGAUCGUGAACCUUGGCUUUGCUGCUAUAAGUUAUAAGUAAAACAGGAUGAACUUGCGUUGCUUUGUAUUCUUUCCAUGUACGGGUUGUACUGCAAGGCUUUGAGCUUCUCAAAGUAACACUUGAUUAAUGCUUCUUUAAAGAAUGGAAAUAGGACUUUUUGGCUGUCACAAAUUUACACAUGUCAAAACCGUUAUGCUUUCUGAUUGUUAAUCUCUGCUAUCAUUACAUGGAUAAUGGUGACAUGAUACUGAGCUUAUUAGAGGAUGCAAUAGCCUUCAUUGACCCAUUAAUUAUUCCUUUUUAGGAAAAAUGAAGAAACAGAGGUUAUGUGAAGAAUUUGCUGAAUAUCCUGAGACAAUAUUCCAAGAAAAUUUUGGUAAUAAGUGGGACACUUUGUUCUUUUAGGCCUGAUAAAUUAUUUAAUUUUGAAGAUCUAUUCUCUUGUAGACAAGAAACAGACUGGCCAGAACGAACCCAGUACAAAUGGGAUUAUGAAACUUUAUAAUUAAAACUGAGACGGAAUCCAACUUUCUCUGAAAGAGUAGUUCUCAGUUUACCUCCAUGAGGUCCCCUGAAAAUGAGGACGUCAAGAAUGCAUAAGUUCUAAAAGAUUUGUUCCCUCCAUACUCAUAUGUAUAUUUGAAGACUAAUUGAGACACUAUGAUCGUUCUUGCAGUUUCCGUUUAUCAGCUUUGAAGUGGCAUCCUGAUAAGCAUCAAAGCCCUUCACAGGUUAACUUGUUAUUAUACAAUUCCUUUGUUUUCAGCAUAUGUGAUUAACUUAUUCUUGUAAGCACCCAUUAGAGUCUUUCAGCAUUUAUCAAGUGAUAAGCAUUUCUUAGGAGAUCCAAGGAAGUAUAUAUUGAAAAUGUAUAAAAAGGUCAUUAAAAUCAUCUUGUUGUUCAUGGUUCUGUCAUGUAAAAUAGAUGAAGAUAAGUGUGAUGAGGGUGAGCAAUAGAGUGCAUUCUUGUUGUUUUUUAGUUUCAAGCAGCCCAUCAUAUGUUAGUCGAGUUCAUUGAUAGAGAAAUAUGUCAUGUGUUUUUUAUUUGGUUAGAUAUGAAGUCAGAAGUUAUAACACUGAGGUUGAUAUCUAGUUCAGCAAGGAAAUUGGUCGACCUUGUACUCUAUUAAGGAAUUCCGGUUCCCAGAGUCACUCCUGCAUAGAUAGGAAUGGCAGUUCUGGCAUGUGCAGGGAUGUUGGCGCUAGAUUAAAUUUUGUUAACGGUACCCAAUUUCUGUCAUCUGUAGAAAGCAUAGUUGACCUCAAAUCUAGGCUGAAAUCAAGUAUGUUUUCUUAUCUUCUCCCUUUCUAGUAGAGAAUAGUCUCUCUUUCUCAUAUUGAACUCUUCUGGAAUAGAAACAUAAGGAAAUUAGAGAUUGCACCCAAUACAAUUGGUCAAUUUAAGGAUGUUCCUCUAAGUUGAGUGCAUCAUAACUUACAAACCAUAUUAUACACUAAUUGGAGUGUCGUUGGUAUGCCUCAAACUUUGAGUUUGCUGCUACCAAAUGCCGGCAACUUCAACUGUAAGAGUCGCCAUAGAGUUUUCGACUCUUUGCUAUUGGGAAAGAAGUGAAACAGAAUUUCAGCAACCUCUCUACUAUAUGAAAGGUAUCCUAUAUCUCAGUUUUUCUCAAGUUUCUGUAAAUCUUCUAGAAAUAAUAUCAUCACAAACAUGUGAAAACUCUUCGGGUAUUGAAGUCAUUGAGAUCUCUGCGUGCAAGGAGUUAGUGUCAUGCAGGCUGGUGGAAUGGUCAUCGAUAAGCAUUUGGAGUUGAGGGCUUCUCUAUUUAAUGAUCAAAAUGUUUAAAUAGGUGUUGUUGUACAACAUUUGACCUCAUGUGCAACAGUACGUUUGUUCUUAUUAAUAUAUCGAUGUUAAAUGCCCAAUCUCAAACUUCAGAAAAAACUCAGCUUUGCACUUAAGCCAGAAUACCAUCAAGAAAAAGAAGCUCAAUUUGAGUAGUGAAACUAAUUGUCGCGAAAAUAUAUAAGAAAGCUGAAUGAAUUAUGUACGAAAACUUCUUCUUGACAUGGUUACUUCUCAUGUCCGAAAAUAUACAUGGAACUAUUGACUCUCUGUUAUGAUGGGAAAGAAGGAAGUGAAAUAAAAGGUUGGCGACCUCUGUACUAUAUUGAUAUCCUAUAUCACAGUUUUUUCAUGUUUUUGUAAAUCUUCAGGAAACAAAGUUAUCGAGAAAUUUCAAUAGAAAGUGGGAUUUUUGCAUGCAAAGAGUUUGAAUUAUGAUGUUGGGCUGUGGAACUCACGUGCACCAAGAAUCAGCCAUUGACAAUCAUUUAGAGUUGAGAUGCUUCUGUAUCUAAUAAUCAACUUGUUCGAAUAGGUGCUGAUAUACAACAUUUGUCCUCAUUUGCAACAGUAAUUGUUAUUAAAAUUUCUAUUGUGCCUAUUAACUCAUCAAUUCAGGAUAUGGUAUCCCAAACUUGAGAUAAAAUCGUUCAAGAAAGAAUGUACUUGUCUUAAUGUAAAUGGGAAAGAUGCACUGUUGCACUCAAGCAAGAAAUUUGAGUACUACCACUCGUGCUUGCUGUGAUAAUAUAUAUUCUAAAUGCGGCUUCUUUUCUGCAGGUGGCACCUUGAAGUCCAUUAAGUGCACAGGAUUGAUGAGCUUAACAAAGAAGAGAAGUUUGUUUCAAAGUUUGUUAUCGAGCUGCUACUCUUGUUAUUUAUUUGUCGUGAGUACAAUCACCUAGAGGGAUUGGAUCACAAAGUCUAAUGCAGGAAGCUUUGGAUAGGGAUGAAGAAUGAGUUCCUCGGAGUUAUUCAAAUGUGGUUAGAGCAGCGUAGACAUAUCACCAUGGAGUCUUCCUAAAUUGCCAAAGAGGAAUCCACUAUCCAUUUUACGUAGAGCAAAACAUAUGGAGGAACUCCCGAUAUAACAGUAAAAGCAAGAUGUGCAGCCCUUUAUGUGAGGCUAGUUGCCAAGAAAGGUGCAACUAACAAAGAACAAGAUUAUCAAAUUACUUUAAAGCAACAUGAUUUGAUUAGGCCAAUGUGAUUUGAUGAAAGUCUCAACUGAACUCUUCGUGAAUGUUAAAAGAAAUUGAGUAGAUAAGCAUUUGUGGCUAAAACUUACAAUAUGAUAGCUUCAAACUUUAAUUAAUUUGUUGAUCAUAUUCAACGUCAGUCUACUUAAAAUAUUUUUCACAUGUACAAGAUUAACACACUGACUUUAUACCUUUCGAAAAAUUCAUUCAAUAAGUUCACUUCAACCUUCAAACAAUUAGAUUGGGUCUUGUUUUCUAUAGCUAUAUCAAUAUACAAUUAAUUUUCUAUAAUCAUAAACAAAAAUAGCCAAAGAUCAAUUUAUAUUUAGC